rnacentral:lncRNA from 1 species
CCAAAAACUGCAGUUUGCAGAUUUUGAUUCUUUAGCUCUCAAUAACUUCCCACAAUACACUUUUACUCAUUUUAACGCCUUCGGCCUUUCCGAAGCAUAGCAAUCUCGCACUUUGGUCAAUUUGACUAAAGUUCGAUAUUUAUUUACCGAAAUUUUGGUAUAUCACAGCUAAUCACUAAACCGUGCGGCUAUCUUCGUGAUAGGCUCGACAUGGUCAAAAUGAUUGAUCGAACUGGAUAUUUUACUAUGUAAACCGUGCGGCCAUCUUCGCGAUAGGCUCGACAUGGUCAAAAUGGGUGAUCGAGCUCCGUUUAUUUCGAUACGUAAACCGUGCGGCCAUCUUCGCGAUAGGUUCGACAUGGUCAAAAGAAUUAAUCGAGCGGCCAUCUUCGUGAUAGGCUUGACACGAUUAAACUCUGCGUACUUGAACAAAAUGCGACAAAAAAAUAUAACAAUAAGAAUGAUAAUAAAAAAUGGACGGGUUUUGUUUUAAUUCAUCAUCUUCGUUCGAUUCGAUCGUAUUGCUCGACGUGAUAAAUUUCGUAUUAAAAACAAUGAGAUACGAAAUUUCAUAUAUUUGGACAAAUAAAA